GCGGAUGUGGCGGAACUGGCAGACGCGCUACGUUGAGGUCGUAGUGGGGUUAUCCCGUGGAGGUUCAAGUCCUCUCAUCCGCACCA
rnacentral:tRNA from 1 species